rnacentral:rRNA from 1 species
AUUGAACGCUGGCGGCAGGCCUAACACAUGCAAGUCGAGCGAGUGGCGGACGGGUGAGUAAUGUAUGGGAAACUGCCCGAUAGAGGGGGAUAACUACUGGAAACGGUAGCUAAUACCGCAUACCAUCAGAUGUACCCAGAUGGGAUUAGCUAGUAGGUGGGGUAAAGGCUCACCAAGGCGACGAUCCCUAGCUGGUCUGAGAGGAUGACCAGCCACACUGGAACGGAGACACGGUCCAGACUCCUACGGGAGGCAGCAGUGGGGAAGAUUGCACAAUGGGCGCAAGCCUGAUGCAGCCAUGCCGCGUGUAUGAAGAAGGCCUUCGGGUUGUAAAGUACUUUCAGCGGGGAGGCGUUACCCGCAGAAGAAGCACCGGCUAACUCCGUGCCAGCAGCCGCGGUAAUAC